UUGUAGUUUCUGACACUUUGCAUGUUUAGCAUGAGGCUAAAAUUCCCCCUCAGUGGGUCACUGGUGACCUGCUGGAUGUUCAGAGGUUCAUUAAAUCCAACAUGACUAAAAACUCAAAUGUCAAAGGAAAUAAACAAAAUAUUUAAAGUCAAUCAUUCUGAUCAUAAUUGUACUUUGACCUUUAACCUCUCUGCUCUGUGUUGUUUCCUCUUUCAGAUCCAAAAAUCCUCAAGUCUGAGCCUGGAGCUGAGGUCACUCUGACAUGUCGAGCUGCAAACAACAACAUCAGAGUUUUAAAGUGGAGCAGAGACCUUAUGCCAGAAUAUGUGCUUUUGUACCAACAUGGGCGUCUUGAUUCAACCAACCAGCAUCCAUCUUUUAAGAACCGGGUGGAUCUGCAGGACAGACAGAUGAAGGAUGGAGACGUGUCUUUGAUUCUGAGGAAUGUGACGACUGAUGACACUGGAACAUACAAGUGUCGUGUCUUCAUGAGUGAAACUCGCUCAUGGGAGGUCAUCAGCAGCAUCUACCUUAUUGUUGAUCCUCCAGGUACACUAGGAGGAUAUGAGGCACAAAUGGUUGAUCUAAUAGUUUGUCUAGGAAUUGUUCUUCUUCUUCUUCUUCUUCUUUUUCUGACCUUAAAAAAAAUACAAAACCACUGGAUAAUACAGAGGAGAAAACGUCGCAAGCAGUGUCGAAAGCUGAAAUCUAAGUCUCCACUACACCACUAGUCUCCAUUCUACAACUGUUAAUGAUCCAGAGGUUGGACAGCCUCUUUCCACAACACCACCAAACAGUGACUUAGAUGAUUUGAAGAUGAAUUAGAACUUUCCUGAACAUCCAUCCUUCAGACAACUGUAGACGUCGAACUUAUCAAGAUUUACAAACUGUUAUAGUCUCAGGUAUUUCUCUCUCUCUGAUCCUGCACUGAAACGUUUUACAACCUCUUCAACUUUUCUUCAACCUGACACACUGUUCAGGUCAGAUUUAAACUGCUUUGACCUUUGACACCACUAAAAACACCCUGAUCUACUUUGUUAGGCUGAAACCUGAUGACCUUUCCUAAACUGACCUAUAACACACAUUAAAAUGUUUUAAUACUCAAAAAUGAAAAUAUUUAAAUAUUUUAUACUGUUGAACAGGUGAUACUUAUUUUUGUACACUGAUGCUGUUUUGGGACAGUUUUAAUCGUAUCUGUUCAGUUUCAGAUCCACCAGUUUGGCUCAAAUUAAGGAACACUGUGAUUUUAGGAAAAUUUGACACUGUGAAUAUCAUCUUUGUGUGUGUGUUUUUAAUGAGACAGUAGCAUCAGAGGUCAAAGAGCACCUUGAUUCAGCCAUGACUGUGAUGUGUGUGUUCACAGCACAUUCGUCCUGCUGCCCACAGAAACUCCUGCAGUGAAUUAGUAAAAUAAUACAUAGAGCACAUGAUGAACAGAGGUCAUACAUGUCUGACUCCACAGUUGCUGAAGUGGAUUCUGGGUCUCUGACUUCCUCCCACAGUUCAAAGACAUUAACGGGUAUUUCUUAUUUAUCCGUGUAUGCUGUGUUAAUGUGUGGUUCAUACAGAACUAUAUGGUCGGUAACACUAACAUAUGAGCAUGAGUACAUCACAUUAGCACAUGAAAGAACAACAGUGUGGCAUUAAUAUUACAGCAGUGAGGACAGUUUGAUGAACUGAUGCUCUGUUCUCUGGUCUGACCAAAGCUUUAACUCCAAACAUCUCUCCACUGUUAGAGCUUCUGCACUGUUUCAGGUUCGGUUCAAAUCAUGGUUCAUAUUUUUAUGGCCUGACUGUGUGAAGCCUCCACCUACAUCACUGAACUGCUCCAUCCUGCUCGACUUGUGUACUCUGAACUCAGUGGCCUUCUUUAAACAGCUUCUUGGUGUUUGAGUUGUUUUGCUCAAUUCAUGUGUAUCCACUGUAACAUUAUAAACACUAUUUUUAUGUCUCUGUAAA